rnacentral:lncRNA from 1 species
AUUUUAUUGUCAAUGUGAUGAUUUUAACAAAAUCAAAAGGACAAUUUUUUUAAUUUUCACCAAAAAUUUAACUACAGUACAUGUAGUAUUUAUGAUUAAAUUUGUUUGGAAAUAUUUGUAUCAUGAACUUGAACUAUGAUACCAAAAAUUGUUAGCAUAUUAGCAUAUUAUGGAUGCAAACUCCUCUAUACAGCUACAGUUAUGUCUUACUCAGUUAUCCAGAAAUCAUCUGUCACUACCACUCAACUGUACAAUGUCCAUGGGACCUACAAAUAUGGGCAGUACUGGAGAAAUUUGACAUAGUUUGACUAACAUCAUAGAAAUACCAAUCCCAUUAGCUCUUUGUACUAUCAAUCUUCUAUAUAUGACUUUUAUCUUAUUUGAACUCAGAAACAAUAGUUAAUAAUGUAUCAGAUGUUGCAUCACAAACAACUAAACUUCUCAAUUUACCAAAUGAUAUACAUUGAUGAUUCAAAGAUUGACACAACAUAUUGUUUUUAUUACAAAAACAAAAGUGAUUUAUUUGCUUACUGAUAAAUUGUUUUCACAAAACUACUGUAUAUAAGACUAUACUAUUUGGCAAUACUCUCCAGUGAAUUUGCACAAACUUCUCUCAAGACCAUUCAAAAACCCACUAGUUGUAGUCAUUACUAAUUCUCCAUAUAUUAGAAUAACUCCUUCAUUGUUCAAUUCCAAUCUACAGUUUCUCUGAAUGUCUGAACACUGGGAUUCUUGGAAUGAACUUGCAGAUAAAUAGCCAAGUCAACAGUUAACCAUCCAAUAACUCAGCUGAAAUACUUUAUAUGGAUCUAAAGCAAGUGAUCAGCAUUCAAACACAAGAUAUGCAACAUGAUUGGGAUAGAGAUCCAUAAGUUAUACUCAGUUAUGCCAAAACUCAUCUAGGUGAACUUAUACACCUUAACCAAUAUUUUGAUGUCAUAAAUAUAAGAAUGAGAAUUCGAUAUACUUGACAUGUCUAUAGAAACCUCUCCACCAGAGUAUUUCCAAGUUCCUCUCACUGUCCAGCCUAUGCUAUUGAUUUGUUUUCAAGAUAAUGUUGCUUGAUAGCAAAAUUUAAAACCUUAUAAUCCAUAAGAUUUUAAAUUUCAUUUCAUAUAAUUCUAUCAAUAUGCUUUUUAUUCCUACUCCAUGGAUUAUUCUUUUAUACAUCAACCUUAUUUUCCAAAAUUGAUUCUUAUCUGCGUUGAUAUUUACAACUAGCCCUGUGUGAGGUUCCAGACGACUGAAAAUAAGUAUGAAAAUAGUGAACAAUAUACAUUAGUUUAACAUCAGUAUUGUAUCUUUAGAUAUUUUAUGUAAAUCGGAUCCUUUAUAGAUUGUAUAAAUGACAAGAUUUAAAGUUGGCCAUAAGUUAUAUCACAUCCCUUUAUUUCAUAAAAACAAUCUAUUUUCAUUUUCUUUUUUAUAUUGAACAUUAUGUUGAGAAUAUUGGUAUGAGCACCAUCAUUAUCAUGACAAUAUGAUGCCAUGUUCAAUGUGAAGUUUUGGGAUGAUAGGCAUCAGUUCAAAUGAAAGCAUUGAUGUCUAUCAAUAGAGUGCAUAUUCUGUUAAACAGUGGUUGCUGAAGUGUGGGUACAUGACACCCCAUGCUGAUAUUAUGAUAUAUGUUAUGAAUCUGUUCCAAGAAUGGUUUGGCAUCCCAUCGUUCCCAAGAAUGACAUUAUUAUGAUGGAUAAAACGUUCAUUUCAAAUAGUGUGUGAGCAGUCAGGCACAAAGUACAAGACUGCAACUGAAAUGGAAACAUGCAUAAGCAUACAGGCAUCUAAAACAGUCGCUAUUGAAAUCAACAUGAAAACCCUCAGCCAAACUUGGGAUAUCCAAUACAACAAUGGAUUAUCGUAUUAAAAAUAAAACUGGUCUAAAACUGUUUCAGCCACUGUGUUAAUGAAAUGAACUCAGUGAUGUCAAUAUGGAUUGAUAAUACACAGUGAUUCACUGACAUCACUGAUUGUCAAUAUGUCAGCACAAUGCUUGCAUUGUUCUCGAAAGAUUCUGUUCAGUGUGUGAUGGCAAAAACAUUUGUUCAUAAAUGAGUGCACAAUUUACCAAAAUUCCAGAAAUCGUAAUGUGGGGGAUCUUUAGUCAAAGCACAUUUUUUGCAGGAAGUGGAAAAGAGAACCCAUCACACAUGUAUGAUCUAAACCAGCAUGAUUAUGAAGCACAUUAUUGGAUAUUAUUUUUUUGGUCCUGUUAAUGGACAGCCAUAUAAAGAUAUGCUUAGACAAUGGCUCUUGGCAGCUCAUUGCAGUUGGAAUAGCAGAUACUAUAAAUCCUGCAGCAAGACAACCUUUACACUUAUCCAUCAGUUUGAGAAUCUCUUAAUGAAUUGUUUUCCAACAAGUGGAUUGAAGGCAGCAUGGGUCCCUCAGAUGGCCAUCAAGGACUCUGACUUGUACAUUCUGGACAAUGCCUUGUGAGAUUUCAUUAAGGGUAGUCAAUCAACAACAGUACUGAACAAUGGCCAAAACUACAAGCUGUGACAAAAGCAUUCAGAAGUAUCAGAUUUUCUGUACUUAAACGUCUUGUUGAACAUGGUGUAUAUUCAGUUAUGAUGAUGCUUAUACUGAUAUUCUGAACAUACAAUGUUCAAUAUACGUUAUGAUGUAAAGCAAAUGACAAU